CCCUUGGCCUUGACAUACUAAGAACUUUCCAGAGAUGGAUUGGUGCCUUCGGGAACUUAGAUACAGGUGCUGCAUGGCUGUCGUCAGCUCGUGUCGUGAGAUGUUGGGUUAAGUCCGCAACGAGCGCAACCCUUUUCCUUAUUUGCCAGCGGGUAAUGCCGGGAACUUUAAGGAUACUGCCAGUGACAAACUGGAGGAAGGCGGGGACGACGUCAAGUCAUCAUGGCCCUUACGGCCAGGGCUACACACGUGCUACAAUGGUCGGUACAAAGGGUUGCUACCUCGCGAGAGGAUGCUAAUCUCAAAAAGCCGAUCGUAGUCCGGAUCGCAGUCUGCAACUCGACUGCGUGAAGUCGGAAUCGCUAGUAAUCGCGGAUCAGAAUGCCGCGGUGAAUACGUUCCCGGGCCUUGUACACACCGCCCGUCACACCAUGGGAGUUUGUUGCACCAGAAGUAGGUAGUCUAACCGCAAGGAGGACGCUUACCACGGUGUGGCCGAUGACUGGGGUGAAGUCGUAACAAGGUAGGCGUAGAUGA
rnacentral:rRNA from 1 species